CCUAUAUUGUACUUUCAGUGAGAAGACAUCAAGCACCAUCGACGAUAACGAGCGUACUUUGCGACGACGUUUGUCACGCAAGAUUAUGCAGGUAUCCCAGGGAAGGCGCAAUUUCCGUCCUCACAACAGAGUCAGUGCUUCAGCGGCUACAAGAAAUAGGCUGGGUAAACCUAAAGCUCCGUCACCGCAUAUAUACUCAUCAUAAUGCCUAUUUUAACGUAUGUUUAUUUUCUUAAUCAUGAUCGAUUAUUGUUAUUGCAAAAGAAAUCAUCUCUGUUUCUUUGAUAUUAUUGCCGUCAAUUUUUAUGUAUUUUAGGUAUAAGGUUAAUAAAAAAACCCAGUAUUUCAAAUGUUAUUGAGUUAUUUUCUUUCCUUGUUUUGGGUAAGAAUAAAUGGUCUUGAUUAAGAAUCAUGUCCAUUAUACUAUUUAUACUUAGACACUACUUGUUAGGCUUCCCAAUAUACACCUACCGAGUUUCUAGAUAACAAUAAUACUUUAUAUCAAGUAAUGACGCACAUGCGCAAUACCUAAAUUGGAAUUUUAAGGUUAUCUAAGUUCAAUCACCGCUCAGUAUAUUAAAAACAAUCUCUCUUGUACACUUAGGCCUAUUAACACACAGCUAAGUGCUUAUUAUCUAAUCACCAAGUUAACAAAUACACAUCUCGCUUAUUAUUCUAGACUUUUGAAGACAUGUUUUUUCCUAUGGUAUUUUAUCUCUUUUAAAAGUCUAACCAGGUCAGGAAGUGAGUCUUCCUUAGUUAUUAUGUUUGUAGCCUAUGUAUUUCUUAAUUUGUCUGACCUUGUGUGCAAUAUUGGUCAUUUGUUUCAAUUACUUUAGUGCUAUCUCUCACUGGGAUAACAAGAAAUCGAUUGACAUUUACAUUGAUCUUAUUCCGGUAAUUAAAUAUUGUGCGACAGCUGGUUGAUAGAUGUACAUUACAUACGAAUGUUAAUCAAUAUUAGGCCAACUUGUUUUUUUAUGCUUUCAAUUACAUGCUACAAUUAAAAUUACA